CCUAGAGUUGUAGGCUUUGCCUGCUAUCUCUUACCCAUGUCUUUUGAGUACCUUCGUUUCCCUCGGCGGGUCCGCCCGCCGAUUGGACAAUUUUAAACCAUUUGCAGUUGCAAUCAGCGUCUGAAAAAAACUUAAUAGUUA
rnacentral:misc_RNA from 1 species